AUUGAACGCUGGCGGCAGGCCUAACACAUGCAAGUCGAACGAGUGGCGGACGGGUGAGUAAUGUCUGGGACACUGCCUGAUGGAGGGGGAUAACUACUGGAAACGGUAGCUAAUACCGCAUACCAUCGGAUGUGCCCAGAUGGGAUUAGCUAGUAGGUGGGGUAAAGGCUCACCUAGGCGACGAUCCCUAGCUGGUCUGAGAGUAUGACCAGCCACACUGGAAGUGGGACACGUGCAAGACUCUUACGGGAGGCAGCAGUGGGGAAUAUUGGAAAAUGGGCGCAAGCCUGAUGCAGACAUGCCGCGGGUAUGAAGAAGGCCUUCGGGUUGUAAAGUACUUUCAGCGGGGAGGCGUUACCCGAAGAAGAAGCACCGGCUAACUCCGUGCCAGCAGCCGCGGUAAUUC
rnacentral:rRNA from 1 species